AGCUUGCUUCUUGGGUGGCGAGUGGCGAACGGGUGAGUAAUAUAUCGGAACGUACCGAGUAAUGGGGGACAACUAAUCGAAAGAUUAGCUAAUACCGCAUAUUCUCUGAGGAGGAAAGCAGGGGACCUUCGGGCCUUGCGUUAUUCGAGCGGCCGAUAUCUGAUUAGCUAGUUGGUGGGGUAAAGGCCUACCAAGGCGACGAUCAGUAGCGGGUCUGAGAGGAUGAUCCGCCACACUGGGACUGAGACACGGCCCAGACUCCUACGGGAGGCAGCAGUGGGGAAUUUUGGACAAUGGGCGCAAGCCUGAUCCAGCCAUGCCGCGUGUCUGAAGAAGGCCUUCGGGUUGUAAAGGACUUUUGUCAGGGAAGAAAAGGCUGUUGCUAAUAUCGACAGUUGAUGACGGUACCUGAAGAAUAAGCACCGGCUAACUACGCGCCAGCAGCCGCGGUAAUACGUAGGGUGCGAGCGUUAAUCGGAAUUACUGGGCGUAAAGCGAGCGCAGACGGUUACUUAAGCAGGAUGUGAAAUCCCCGGGCUCAACCUGGGAACUGCGUUCUGAACUGGGUGACUAGAGUGUGUCAGAGGGAGGUAGAAUUCCACGUGUAGCAGUGAAAUGCGUAGAGAUGUGGAGGAAUACCGAUGGCGAAGGCAGCCUCCUGGGAUAACACUGACGUUCAUGCUCGAAAGCGUGGGUAGCAAACAGGAUUAGAUACCCUGGUAGUCCACGCCCUAAACGAUGUCAAUUAGCUGUUGGGCAACUUGA
rnacentral:rRNA from 1 species